UACGUAGGGUGCGAGCGUUGUCCGGAAUUAUUGGGCGUAAAGAGCUUGUAGGCGGUUUGUCGCGUCUGCUGUGAAAAUCCGGGGCUCAACCCCGGACUUGCAGUGGGUACGGGCAGACUAGAGUGUGGUAGGGGAGACUGGAAUUCCUGGUGUAGCGGUGGAAUGCGCAGAUAUCAGGAGGAACACCGAUGGCGAAGGCAGGUCUCUGGGCACUUACUGACGCUGAGGAGCGAAAGCGUGGGGAGCGAACAGG
rnacentral:rRNA from 1 species